CGAGGGGCAGCGGGGUUGUAGCAAUACAACUGCCGGCGACCGGCGCACGGGUGAGCAACACGUAUGUAACCUGCCCUCUGCAGGGGGAUAAGCGGAAGAAAUUCCGUCUAAUACCGCAUAAUACAAUUUGGAGACAUCUCCGGGUUGUCAAAGGAGUGAUCCGGCAGAGGAUGGACAUGCGGCGCAUUAGCUAGUCGGCGGAGUAACGGCCCACCGAGGCUACGAUGCGUAGGGGUUCUGAGAGGAAGGUCCCCCACACUGGUACUGAGACACGGACCAGACUCCUACGGGAGGCAGCAGUGAGGAAUAUUGGUCAAUGGGCGGAAGCCUGAACCAGCCAAGUCGCGUGAGGGAAGACGGUCCUAUGGAUUGUAAACCUCUUUUGCAGGGGAGCAAGGCGCGGUACGUGUACCGCGAAGGAGAGUACCCUGAGAAAAAGCAUCGGCUAACUCCGUGCCAGCAGCCGCGGUAAUACGGAGGAUGCGAGCGUUAUCCGGAUUUAUUGGGUUUAAAGGGUGCGCAGGCGGACUGUUAAGUCAGCGGUAAAAUGUCGGUGCUCAACACCGGCCGGCCGUUGAAACUGGCAGCCUUGAGUGAGCGAGAAGUAUGCGGAAUGCGUGGUGUAGCGGUGAAAUGCAUAGA
rnacentral:rRNA from 1 species